rnacentral:rRNA from 1 species
UGGGGGAAUUUUGGACAAUGGGCGAAAGCCUGAUCCAGCAAUGCCGCGUGUGUGAAGAAGGCCUUCGGGUUGUAAAGCACUUUUGUCCGGAAAGAAAUCCUUGGCUCUAAUACAGUCGGGGGAUGACGGUACCGGAAGAAUAAGCACCGGCUAACUACGUGCCAGCAGCCGCGGUAAUACGUAGGGUGCAAGCGUUAAUCGGAAUUACUGGGCGUAAAGCGUGCGCAGGCGGUUUGCUAAGACCGAUGUGAAAUCCCCGGGCUCAACCUGGGAACUGCAUUGGUGACUGGCAGGCUAGAGUAUGGCAGGAGGGGGGUAGAAUUCCACGUGUAGCAGUGAAAAUGCGUAGAGAUGUGGAGGAAUACGAUGGCGAAGGCAGCCCCCUGGGCCAAUACUGACGCUCAUGCACGAAAGCGUGGGGAGCAAAACAGGAUUAGAUACCCUGGUAGUCCACGCCCUAAACGAUGUCAACUAGUUGUUGGGGAUUCAUUUCCUUAGUAACGUAGCUAACGCGUGAAGUUGACCGCCUGGGGAGUACGGUCGCAAGAUU